rnacentral:rRNA from 1 species
CUAAGUUUGAUGGCGACCGGCGCACGGGUGAGUAACACGUAUCCAACCUGCCGAUGACUCGGGGAUAACCUUUCGAAAGAAAGAUUAAUACCCGAUGGCAUAGUUCUUCCGCAUGGUAGAACUAUUAAAGAAUUUCGGUCAUCGAUGGGGAUGCGUUCCAUUAGGUUGUUGGCGGGGUAACGGCCCACCAAGCCUUCGAUGGAUAGGGGUUCUGAGAGGAAGGUCCCCCACAUUGGAACUGAGACACGGUCCAA